UCCCUUUUGUUUCCGUCUUGUAAGUUCUAGGAAUCGAAACCUAACUCUCUCCCAAAGAAAUGGCACCGAAGGCGGAGAAGAAGCCUGCUGAGAAGAAGCCAGCGGAAGAGAAGAAGACGGUAGCAGAGAAAGCUCCGGCGGAGAAGAAACCGAAGGCCGGAAAGAAGCUACCAAAAGAGGGUGGUGCGGCGGCCGGAGACAAGAAAAAGAAGCGCGUGAAGAAGUCCACGGAGACAUACAAGAUCUACAUCUUCAAGGUCUUGAAGCAGGUCCAUCCAGACAUCGGGAUCUCGAGCAAG
rnacentral:lncRNA from 1 species